UUUCAGUCAAUGUUGUGUUUCUUUCAAUUUGAAAUAUCUGGAUUUAAUUAAUACAGCUCAGUCAGUUCCAUUUAAUAUUAUUAAGAAUUCUUAUUCAGUUUAACACUAGAUGACGUAUCAGUUCAUGGAGUUUUUCAGAGCCAGUUUUUUCUUUUCAAUUAUCUGAAUUUGAAGUGAGAUUAUUAAAAUAUAAUUGCAAUGAAUCAGCAGCAACAUAAGAAACGACCAAAUAUACAAAGGAAGUGCAGCUAUUUAAAUAUAAAAAAUGAUCUAUCAGUCAGAACAUGGUGAAAGUGCAGCUGAAGUUAAGUUAGUGAAGCUACGGAUAAGCAACGUUUCCUUUCACUUUCAGAAAAAUAAAAACCUCAUAUUUGCGAUUUAUUAAAAAAUCACUAAAAGCAACACUUCCACCAAGUUUGUUUUAGUUUGUUGGUAUUUAUCGGUGGAGCAGCAGCACAUUUUCCACAGACAGUUUUACUGUCCGUUGUCUUGUUUUAAUCAGUUUUCAGUUCAGUAAUUCAGUCCUUCGGCUGAUUGGACCAACAGACACUGAAGGACUCCGACAGCUGGUCGGUAAUAAAUGAUAAUUUACUGAUCGGUGCCGGUUUUAAUGAACUUUAUGUUCAACUUCAGAGUCGGAUAUAAUGUGAGCAGUGAAUCCCAGGAGUUGGUGGAGUUUAUUUGUGUGUGUUGACCAGAGAAGAGAGUUAGCAUCCAGUGAAUAUUAGCUUUAAUGUGAAUUAGCGAUGCUAACCGAGCUAGCUGAGCAGUCCUGAUUAGCAGCUAAAUGUAGCAUCAAGCUAACGAUGUUUGUGUUGUUUCCUGUCAGCAGCUGAAGUGUGUUGUGUUCCUGUAAUGUGGUUCAUUAAGUUCAUAAAACUGUGGCUGGUUGACGUUAAUUCAACGUUCAGGAAACUUAAAUGUGAUUAAAACAGUAACGUUAAUGUUCUAGUUGUCAGUAAUCAGCUUUAAUUUGACACUAAAACAGACUGAUAGUUUUAAAUGAAAUCAGUUUCAUGAAUUUGUUGACAAUUGUCUCAUUUGUUGUUUUGAUGUUGCUGCUGAUUCAUUAAAACCAGAUGAUCCAUGUUGAAGAUACGUUUAGUUCUAGUAUCAGAAGCACAAGAAGGAAAAUGGAAGUUUAGUUCUGCUACAUCAAAAAAUUCAGGAAUAAAAUAACUAAAUGAGUCUUUAUGCCUCAAACUUUAUUUUAUAAUAAUGAAAUAAUGAAAUAAUCACAGAUAAUAAAAAUAUAAAUAGCAGAGAAAACCUGAGAGAAUAAUUUCCUGAAAAGUCUGUGAAGGAAAAGCAGCUUUUUAUCCUGAAAGAUCAGAAUCAGCUCCAACAUCUGCAUCUGACAGCAUCAAGUCAACCAGAAAGAAAAGAAAAAAGAAAAUGACUUCUUUCUGAUCACACCUGUUCCGCUGCUCACAGGCUGCUGCUGCUCACAUUCUUCACAUUUAUAGUCCACUUUUAAAAGUUCAGCAGACAGGUGCUCUGCUUUGGAGUGUGACGAUGUCGUCGGUGAUGUGGAGAGUUAAGUUUUCGUUUCACCCACAGCAUGCUUUAGGGCAGCCGGGUCAGACUUGAUGUUUGAAAUACUGACCGACAGCUCAGAUUUAACUGUCUGUAGUUCCGUUUUGAUGGAUGUUAAACUUUCAUUCAAAGCCGCCAAGAGCUGGGUCUUUAAAAUAACUGCCGUCUCGUUACAGAGUGAAAGUAGCAGUUCCUCCUUAAAGUCAGAGAUUGCAGCAUCUGAGGGCCUCUUCAAAAGAAGAUGUAGUUGAUGAAGGCGUUCUGGAGCAGGACCAGAAAGACCACGACCAAGCAGCCUUGAGAUCUUAGGCAGCGUCUCCCUCAGACCAAAGAACUACAGACUCUUCACAACCUGCUCAAACUCUUGGUACAGGACCUCACCACACGGGUCAAGAAGGUUUCCUUCUCCUCAUUUCUACUCUGAAGAUCACCUUCUCCUGCUCAAACUGCUGACAAAUGUUUCUGCUGCUCUAAAGUCUGGUCUCCAGAACUUCCUAAAAACUCUCAAAGUCUCUUCUGCUGCAGGUUGCUAUGUAGAACUGUUCCAGAAAACCUCACUAAACCACAUGGAGGGGCCUCAAGAUAGUCGUCCAAAUGAAACCAUACAAAAACCAAACCAGCACAACCCAAACGCUAAAGUCUCCUGCAGCCUACCAGAGAACCUCUGAGAACAGAGAAUCAGGACAGGAACUCUUACCUUCUGGACAACCAACGUUGGUUUAUAAACAAGAAUACAGAAUGUGUCUGACCAAAAACCUCUAAAGACUCACUACAGCCAAGAUAAAGACACAACUCAGCUGCACCAAAUCCACUAAUCACUGCACACAUUAGCACCAUGUGCCAACUGUGGCUAAAGAACCACAUUUACCAAGACAACUAUCCAGUACAAAGCCCUAAAACACACCAAGAAACACAUUAAAGACGAUUUUACUGCUGGAAGCUGCAAGCCAAUGCCUAAAGAACAAACUAAAGCAAUGGAGCCAAACCCGGUUAGUGGUGAAGAGAAACAGAGGAAAUGAUUGUCUGCAGCUAAAUAAAGCAGGAAGACACCGAGCUGCUCAGGUGUUCCUGAUAACACCAAGCAGCCACCUGGACAGCCAAUAGGAACACAGCUUCUUGGAAGUCCAGAGGGCUGGGCUAGUGAAGGAAAUUUAGUUGAAGCAGAAAGUAAACAAAGUUGAAAACCACCUUCUGAUCCCUGAAAUCUCUGACACUCCAGAAAGGUUUUCUUUGAAAAAAAAAAUUAUCAUGAAUUUUGGCGCAAAAAAACGCCUUACUAUACGAUGUCGAAAAAAAAAUGCCAUUUUUCAAACAUGUUGCAAAAACGUGCCAUAUGAUGAAAUAAUGUAAAGGAGGCCGUGAAGAACACUCCAGAAAAGUUUUCUUUGGAAAAAAAAAAAUCAUGAAUUUUGGAACCAAAAAACACCUUACUAUACUAUGUCGAAAGAAAAUGCGAUUUUUCAAACAUGUUGUAAAAACGUGCCAUAUGAUGAAAUAAUGUAAAGGAGGCCAUGAAAAACACUCCAGAAAGGUUUUCUUUGAAAAAAAAAAAUCAUCAUGAAUUUUGGUGCAAAAAAAAGCCUUACUAUACUAUGUCGAAAAAAAAAUGCCAUUUUUCAAACAUGUUGUAAAAACGUGCCAUAUGAUGAAAUAAUGUAAAGGAGGCCGUGAAAAACACUCCAGAAAGGUUUUCUUUGAAAAAAAAAAUCAUCAUGAAUUUUGGUGCAAAAAAAACACCUUACUAUACUAUGUCGAAAAAAAAUGCCAUUUUUCAAACAUGUUGUAAAAACGUGCCAUAUGAUGAAAUAAUGUAAAGGAGGCCGUGAAAAACACUCCAGAAAGGUUUUCUUUUAAAAAAAAAUCAGCAUGAAUUUUGGCACGAAAAAAUGCCUUACUAUACUAUGUCGAAAAAAAAUGCCAUUUUUCAAACAUGUUGUAAAAACGUGCCAUAUGAUGAAAUAAUGUAAAGCAGGGCGUGAAAAACACUCCAGAAAGGUUUUCUUUGAAAAAAAAAAUCAUGAAUUUUGGCGCAAAAAAAAACGCCUUACUAUACUAUGUCGAAAAAAAAUGCCAUUUUUCAAACAUGUUGUAAAAACGUGCCAUAUGAUGAAAUAAUGUAAAGGAGGCCGUGAAAAACACUCAAGAAAGGUUUUCUUUGAAAAAAAAAUCAUCAUGAAUUUUGGCGCAAAAAAAAAACGCCUUACUAUACUAUGUCGAAAAAAAAUGCCAUUUUUCAAACAUGUUGUAAAAACGUGCCAUAUGAUGAAAUAAUGUAAAGGAGGCCGUGAAAAACACUCCAGAAAGGUUUUCUUUGAAAAAAGAAUCAACAUGAAUUUUGGCGCAAAAAAAACGCCUUACUAUACUAUGUCGAAAAAAAAUGCCAUUUUUCAAACAUGUUGUAAAAACGUGCCAUAUGAUGAAAUAAUGUAAAGCAGGGCGUGAAAAACA